CCGGAGCCACUGUGGCUCCGGCUGGAUGCGCCUGCCCUCGGGCCCUCAGGGAGGCAGGGGUUCGAGGGUACGAGUUCAAGGCCAACCUGGUCCACAUGGGUUGAAAAAAAAAUUUUUUU